rnacentral:rRNA from 1 species
CGGACGGGUGAGUAAUGUCUGGGAAACUGCCUGAUGGAGGGGGAUAACUACUGGAAACGGUAGCUAAUACCGCAUAACGUCGCAAGACCAAAGAGGGGGACCUUAGGGCCUCUUGCCAUCGGAUGUGCCCAGAUGGGAUUAGCUAGUAGGUAGGGUAACGGCUCACCUAGGCGACGAUCCCUAGCUGGUCUGAGAGGAUGACCAGCCACACUGGAACUGAGACACGGUCCAG